ensembl:lncRNA
CACGGAUCCAUUUGAAAGCUGCAUCUAUCAAUGGAUUAGUGCAUUAACACAACGACCAAUUACCUGUUUAAGAAUCUUCUCAACAGGGCACUCAAAUUUUAGUGGGAAAUGGACCGUAAAAAUUUCAGUACCAACUGUUACCAAAGUCUGUACUUUUGACAACACUACUAAACAGAAACAACACAAAAGAUUAAUUCGUUUCGGAGUCUGAUUUCACAUCUUGGAUGAAUAUUUUAUAGCGGGAGAAUUCCUUUUCGAGAGCUGUUAAAAGAAUUGAAGCCAUAAAUAUUAUUCAUAAUCUAUUUUGGGCCAUAAGUAUCACCAAACAGAAAAAUAAUAGCUGAACAGGCUUCUGAAAACUUCUCAACAGAUUGUCCCGCCUUCAAACUCACUCGAGGAGUCAAUGAUGAGGGCUAGUAUUUUGGGGAUACCAAUACACGAAUGCCUUACAUGUAGGUAUAGUUGUCUACAAUUACACCUAGGACAGAAAGUUUAUUUUUCUUUUUUUUUUUUUUACAUUAACCAAUAUUAAUUUAAGUAUUGUAUUUGUUCUAGAUCUUCACAUGUGAUGUUACAGUGUUAAGACACUCACAGACUUGACAGCUACUUUCUGUUCUGAAAACAUCCCAAGUUUCAAUCUACCCUAGCACACAAACUUUUGAUGAGCAACCAGAAAAUAAUUGCCAUGUCAGAAAUGGCACAUUUUGAGACCCCUGGACAAUGCACUGAUUACCCCUUCUUUCUACUUUCUGACACCUGACCCCAAAGGUUCUGGACACACCAAUGAAUUCUCUGAGAAAAUAAGAAAUCCUGCUCUAUUACAGAAAAACCGUGAGGCUACAAAGACUGUUUCUUUUUGUUUGUUUGUCAGUUUGUGACAGUUAAACCAUGGGGAAAAUGAAAUGCUGUGAAACGGAUUGUCUUGAUUGUAGUAAUUUCUUUUUCAAGCUGAGAAAACAGAAAGGUCACCUAAGUGGCGUGCAUGAAUGGGGGGAAAAAAGAAGAUUACAGUUUUAAAAUAAACAUCUGAUUUACUCUGAUUUACCA